rnacentral:lncRNA from 1 species
AUGAAAAUAAGAUAAAAUUACCUUAAAUAAGUUGCUAAUAGUCAAAAGAUGAUAAAAGAAUGAAGAUAACUUAUUAAUGUGGCAAUUAGGAUUUGAUGUCGCAACUAUGUUAAGAAGAAUUUAGGAUUAAGUUGGAUUGAUGAAAAUGAUUAUACAUGAAGUUUAAUUACAAUAGAUAUAAACUCCUCCUCAAAGUAAAGAGUGUUGGAAGAGAGAGACAUCUCAUUCCAUACUUCUCUUCUAUAUAA